GACGAACGCUGGCGGCGUGCUUAACACAUGCAAGUCGAACGGAAAGGCCCUGCUUUUGUGGGGUGCUCGAGUGGCGAACGGGUGAGUAACACGUGAGUAACCUGCCCUUGACUUUGGGAUAACUUCAGGAAACUGGGGCUAAUACCGGAUAGGAGCUCCUGCUGCAUGGUGGGGGUUGGAAAGUUUCGGCGGUUGGGGAUGGACUCGCGGCAUAUCAGCUUGUUGGUGGGGUAGUGGCUUACCAAGGCUUUGACGGGUAGCCGGCCUGAGAGGGUGACCGGCCACAUUGGGACUGAGAUACGGCCCAGACUCCUACGGGAGGCAGCAGUGGGGAAUAUUGCACAAUGGGCGGAAGCCUGAUGCAGCAACGCCGCGUGCGGGAUGACGGCCUUCGGGUUGUAAACCGCUUUCGCCUGUGACGAAGCGUGAGUGGCGGUAAUGGGUAAAGAAGCACCGGCUAACUACGUG
rnacentral:rRNA from 1 species